AGGAAGCUUCGUGCAUCUAAGUUUGAAAUGGCCGAAUGGAGCAGAGCCGAUGGAGAGAUGAGAUUGAGAGUGAGAAAUCGAGGGAGUUCAUACCCGAGAGAGAUCGAGGCCGCGAGGGUGGCCGACCGAUGAUCGAGCAGCAAGCAACGAUUAAAAGGAAGGGGCGCUGCAAGUAGCAGAUGGCUGGAAGAAAAAGCCAAUGUGAUGGCUGCCAUGGCCGAUGCGAGGCGGAGCAGAGGCGGACCAGCGAGGGCACGGAUGAGCUCGAGAGAGAGCCUUGCCGAGUGUAUGUGAGCUUGUGCAAGAGAGAGUGUGUGAGAGAAAAGCUAAAUGGCAACCGGCCAUGGCAGUCGCUGCCAUGGCCAACGCUUGAAGCAGUGGUCGUGGCCGAGGCAGGGGCAGCCAUGGCGUGCUCAGCGGCAGGUGGUGCUGCCAGGAGGAAGAGGGCGGCCGGUAAUGGAAGCAGCAACAGCUCGAGGGCGGCCAAUGGCAAUCGACGCUGCUACCAGACGUCGCCCAUGGUGGCUGGAAGCGACCGAGCAGCAGGAGCUGCUGUGCGCGGCGGUGCUGUGUGCAGGUCGGAGGCGCGCGCGGGGGGAGCCGUGGCUACUCGCGGCGGGAGGCGGCGUUGUCGGCCAGUAGCAGCGGCCGGCGAAGCAAGGCAGCAGCUGGAGGAGGCUGCCAUGCGUGAGGAAGAAGAAGGGAGACGCGCGCAGAGGAGAGGCGCGGAGAAGAAGAAGUACAGGGGAGAAGAAUGGGAAAAAGAAAAUAAAAAGAAAAAGAAAAAUAAAACAAAAUAGAAAAUGAGAAAAUAUGGAAAAAUCCCGAAAAAUUCCAGAAAGAUUGGGGAAAGUUCUGGAAAUUAAUUUGGGGGCCGAGGAGCGUGCUGGAGGCCGAGAAUGGGAUUUGGGCGCGAGAUUUGAAGCCCAGGAAGCAAUGCCGGGUGAGCGUUUUCCUGAUGUCUACUCCAGAAUUAAUUGAGGUCCGAUUGGAGGGACGGUGAUCCUAGAAGAACUUGAGAUUCAGGCUGGAGUUCGUGCCGAGGCAGAGUUGAAGCUUCGAGCCAGAUGAUGCAAGUCCGGAUGCAAGUAGGGAUGGCGCCGGGAGGCCGUUGUGGCAACUAGCUGAGUUGCCCGAGUUAUGUAUUUUUAAUAUUGCUUGUAUGUAGCCAGGGGGCGUGGUGUAUGUAUACCCUUGUGAGUAAAUGUCUGUGUUUGAGCUUAAAUGUAUUUAAUUGUGUAAUCAUCAUAGUGUGAUAGAUGAUUGUGAGUUUGCUUGUUGAAUGUGGCAUAGUCGGUAAAGCCAAGAUUUGGACCGAGUCAAGAUCAGCAAGGUAUGUUCUCAUAAAUCCCCAAUACUCAGCGAAGUGUUUGUAUGCUAGCCUUGUGCCUGGGUCACCUCUGGCUUGCUAUGGGGUGAGCCGAAGAGAGGUGAAGCUUACUCGGGUUUCGGGUCUUGAUCCGCUGGAUUUUUCUUAUUUGAGUUGGGACCGAUUCCUGAGUGGAGCGAAGGGAAGGACGAAGCCUAGUUCCCACCUAGGGCGUUUCCUGUUGAAACAUAGUCCAACCCUUUAGUUGAGGUUGUCGGGUGAGUAAUCCGGUCGAUUAUUUACCGGUGGCGCCCGUAAGUGGGAGUGGGUUGUUACACUAACUUAGAGCUUUCAUGCCAUGUAUGAGAGUUACUAGAACUGGAAACGCUAUCAUACCUAAACCCAGAUGAUUAAUUUAGUUGUUUUGUGUAUUAAUUGCAAUUGAAUUUAUGGUGGUUGCUUAAAUUAGAAUCUCGCAUAUCAUGUAUGGGGAUUGCUUAAUCUAGAACUAUCAUCAUCUCUAAUUGCAUUUAAUAACAAACCAUCAUAUCUGAAAUUAAAUUAAUGUUGCUAAUUUUUUAUGCUAAAAUUUGGGAAUCAACGGGUUGGUACUGAAAUUGUCUUAACUCAAGCACUAUCCAAAUUCAUAUUUUUACGUUUAAUGUUUAUUUCAAUUUCUGCCUUACUUUAUUUUCUAGUAUCUGUUGUCUAAAAAAAACUCAUAAAAAAACCUUGUUUCCAAUUUGUCCAAAUGCGUGUGCGUGUGUGUGACAUUCUUUUUCUUUUGCCAUAAAUAAAUCUCUCAGUGGACGACCUGGAUUCAUCCAGAAAAUAUAAAUUUAAAUUUGGACUACAACUGCACUCGUACACUGGCGAGUAUAAACCUCUCACUAAAAUAAAACAAAUAUAAAAGUUUUAUUAUGAUUUGUUCUUAUUAUGUUUUAAUUCCAGGGUGAGAGUGCAGCCAAAGGGGCAUGCGUGUAUAUAUGCAAAUGGUCACUGUGAUGCUGUUGGGACUAUAAUUUACAAUGGGUAAAGGGAAGGUCGUUUUUGGGGGCGAGUCCAGUGGGACUAAAGCCUAGAGAUAAUGUUGUACGGAGAUGCGUCCUAACUUAAAGAUCUUGUUUAGCAUUUUGGUGAGGCUUGAGAUAAAAUGAUUUUUAUUUUGUUAGCUAACAUUAGAGCCUCUUAAUUAUUUUGUACGGCCUUUGAGCCCCAAACUUAUGAGAUAUUGGAAGUGUAACCGAACCUUAAUUUAGUUUCUACUGCUAGUAAUGAAUUGAGUUGUUUAU